rnacentral:tRNA from 1 species
AAUAGGAUGGCUGAAACUAAGGCGAUAAAUUGUAAAUUUAUUCAUGAUUAAAUAAUCUCCUAUUA